rfam:Anoxybacillus sp. B7M1, complete genome.
CGCCCUUUUAAAGGCAGUCCUGAGAGACUGACAAAGGGGGUCAAAUUGGUCUGCCGAUUUUUUAGGCAACGAUUGCACCCUCUUUGCAUCAUCCGGGCAAAGAGGGUUUUUUUAU